CUACGGGCCGCUGCAGUCGAGAAUCUUCCGCAAUGGGCGAAAGCCUGACGGAGCGAUGCCGCGUGAGGGAUGACGGCCUUCGGGUUGUAAACCUCUGUCACCCGGGACGAAGGACGUGACGGUACCGGGAGAGGAAGCCACGGCUAACUACGUGCCAGCAGCCGCGGUAAUACGUAGGUGGCGAGCGUUAUUCGGAUUCACUGGGCGUAAAGGGUCCGCAGGGGGUUUGCCAAGUCCGAUGUGAAAUCCCGUGGCUCAACUGCGGAAUGGCAUUGGAAACUGGCGAGCUAGAGUUCACGAGGGGUGAGCGGAAUUCCUGGUGUAGCGGUGGAAUGCGUAGAUAUCAGGAAGAACACCGAUGGCGAAGGCGGCUCACUGGCGUGCAACUGACCCUCAUGGACGAAAGCGUGGGGAGCAAACAGGAUUAGAUACCCCGGUAGUC
rnacentral:rRNA from 1 species